AAUGAACGUUGGCGGCAUGGAUUAGGCAUGCAAGUCGGGGGAAUCCCAGCAAUGGGGGAACCGGCGUAAGGGGCAGUAAGGCAUGGGUACCUACCUUGGGGUUCGGGAUAGCCAUCAGAGAUGGUGGGUAAUACCGGAUGACGUCGUGAGACCAAAGAUUCAUCGCCCUUAGAGGGGCCCACGUGAUAUUAGCUAGUUGGUGGGGUAACGGCCCACCAAGGCGAAGAUGUCUAGCGGGUGUGAGAGCACGACCCGCGCCACUCGCACUGAGACACUGGCGAGACACCUACGGGUGGCUGCAGUCGAGGAUCUUCGGCAAUGAGCGCAAGCUUGACCGAGCGAUGCCGCGUGAGCGAUGAAGGCCUUCGGGUUGUAAAGCUCUUUAGUGGGGGAGAAAGGCCGCAAGGUGUGAUCUAUCCCAAAAAUAAGCACGGGCUAAGUUCGUGCCAGCAGCCGCCGUAA
rnacentral:rRNA from 1 species